rnacentral:rRNA from 1 species
CCUACGGGUGGCAGCAGUGGGGAAUAUUGCACAAUGGGCGAAAGCCUGAUGCAGCAACGCCGCGUGAAGGAAGAAGGUUUUCGGCUCGUAAACUUCUAUCAACAGGGAAGAAAGAAAUGACGGUACCUGACUAAGAAGCCCCGGCUACCUACGGGCCAGCAGCCGCGGUAAUACGUAGGGGGCAAGCGUUAUCCGGAAUUACUGGGUGUAAAGGGUGAGUAGGCGGCAUGGUAAGCCAGAUGUGAAAGCCUUGGGCUUAACCCGAGGAUUGCAUUUGGAACUAUCCAGCUAGAGUGCAGGAGAGGAGAGCGGAAUUCCUAGUGUAGCGGUGAAAUGCGUAGAUAUUAGGAAGAACACCAGUGGCGAAGGCGGAUGACUGGACGGCAACUGACGGUGAGGCGCGAAAGCGUGGGGAGCAAACAGGAUUAGAUACCCUUGUAGUC